UACGGAGGGUGCAAGCGUUGCUCGGAAUUAUUGGGCGUAAAGGGUAGGUAGGUGGUCUUAUUUGUCUGGGGUGAAAGCCUUGAGCUUAACUCAAGAAGUGCCCCAGAAACGGUAAGACUAGAGUCCUGGAGAGGGUCGUGGAAUUCCCGGUGUAGCGGUGAAAUGCGUAGAGAUCGGGAGGAACACCAGAGGCGAAGGCAGUGUCCUGGGGAGUACCUGACGCUCAGGUGCGAAAGCCAGGGGAGCGAACGGG
rnacentral:rRNA from 1 species